AUAGCUUUUUAAAUCUCUUCCUCAGGUUUGUGUGUAGAAGACACAGAACAAGCUCUAUCCAUGCUAUCCAUGAGUCUUUAACUUCAGUGACUUUCGCCCUGAAGAAGAGCUGUGACCAAGCCUUGUAUGGUCAACUGUCCUCAUUCCUAAGGGGCAUACCCCGUGGAAGUAAUGCUACACAGCAGAGACCCUCCGGUCUGAUCAGUGACAUCAUCUCCAUAUGAAACCUCAAGGCCCUGCAUUGGGAAAGCUCCCAGACAGCUGAACUCGGGAAAGUUCCUGCAGGGCGGGGCACCUGAAGAGCCCACGCAAACUCUACACCCGGUCCAUGUAAGUACGAGCUUCCCUGA
rnacentral:lncRNA from 1 species